GUACGGUCGCAAGAUUAAAACUCAAAGGAAUUGACGGGGACCCGCACAAGCGGUGGAUGAUGUGGAUUAAUUCGAUGCAACCGCGAAAAACCUUACCUACCCUUGACAUGUCACUAACGAAGUAGAGAUACAUUAGGUGCCCGUAAGGGAAAGUGAACACAGGUGCUGCAUGGCUGUCGUCAGCUCGUGUCGUGAGAUGUUGGGUUAAGUCCCGCAACGAGCGCAACCCUUGUCUUUAGUUGCUACGCAAGAGCACUCUAAAGAGACUGCCGGUGACAAACCGGAGGAAGGUGGGGAUGACGUCAAGUCCUCAUGGCCCUUAUGGGUAGGGCUUCACACGUCAUACAAUGGUGCGUACAGAGGGUUGCCAACCCGCGAGGGGGAGCUAAUCUCUUAAAACGCAUCGUAGUCCGGAUCGUAGUCUGCAACUCGACUACGUGAAGCUGGAAUCGCUAGUAAUCGCGGAUCAGCAUGUCGCGGUGAAUACGUUCCCGGGUCUUGUACACACCGCCCGUCACACCAUGGGAGUGGGUUUUGCCAGAAGCAGUUAGCCUAACCGUAAGGAGGGCGAUUGCCACGGCAGGGUUCAUGACUGGGGUG
rnacentral:rRNA from 1 species